UACGUGGGGUGCAAGCGUUGCUCGGAAUUAUUGGGCGUAAAGGGUAGGUAGGUGGUCUCAUUUGUCUGGGGUGAAAGCCUUGAGCUUAACUCAAGAAGUGCCCCAGAAACGGUGAGACUAGAGUCCUGGAGAGGGUCGUGGAAUUCCCGGUGUAGCGGUGAAAUGCGUAGAGAUCGGGAGGAACACCAGCGGCGAAGGCGGCGACCUGGACAGGUACUGACACUCAACUACGAAAGCGUGGGGAGCAAACAGG
rnacentral:rRNA from 1 species